AGAUAGUGUGAUGCAGGAAGCUAGUCAGAAAGUAAUUGGCUCCAUCAGUCUGCCUGGUGAGAGCUGUUUGCUUGUUCAAGCUUUUGCCUUAGGGCUACAGCGAGAAACAGCCUGUAGGAUACAAUAGAGAUGGAUUUUGUUUGUUUGUUUGUUUUAGCCUGACUUAGUCCAAAGAGAGGCACCACCCUGUGCCCCAGAGUUGGGUGCGCUAAAUACAGAACCGAGCAAGGUGUUGUGAAAAAUAAAAGAACCAAGAUCUCCUCUGACAUCUCACACUCUGCUUGACUUCAGGCAUUUCCCGGCCCUUUUUUUAGCCAGGAAUAACAUAUGGGGACAGCGAGAUAUUUCUGAAAAACACUUGGAACCUCACAGAGAAAGGCAGCCGACAAACAUACGCUUGUCUAUCAUUUCUAAAUGCUGCUGAAAGAUGAGAGAAACUAGCCAUCCACAAAGUUACAGAGCCACACAGUUGAGCUAAGUGCUUCCCAGCAAUCCUGGUCUGGCUGAUUUUUCCAGAGUUCAUGGAGGCCAUCUGUGGAAUUUACACCUCCGAUGGACACAAGGACUCUGGGAGUGUCAGAGGAUAACAGGAUUAACAGAGGAUAAUUCCACCCCAGAGCAGGUACACUCUUGCCAAUGCCCGUGGGUCCUUAAACUGACAGUUGGGAGAGACUUUUAAACUGUCGGCCUGGACAGGAGCCUUUCUCUUGAUGAAAUUUGUACUGGAACUAAGCAAAGUGAAGAACUUGGGCCCCUCAGCCUUCCCUUCUCUGCCUCCCUGGAGAGCCUCAGGCAUCCAAAUCUCAAACAUCUCCCGGUCCCCUGAAGGUUACCGAAGCUAUUUCCCGCUGAAGCAGCCAGAAACAACACCAGAAGUGGGUUUAUUUUUACCCUACGCUCUGUCAUCGAUCAUUACUGAAAAACGAAGAGACAGGUUUUGGCUGAAUAUUCUGUGGAAUAUUCAAGAUCUCCAUGUGGAGUUUGGCCCUCUGCCUGCUGCAUUUAUCUCUUUUGGAGUGGUCUCCUCCCUCUCCUGCCAAUGUUCCUCAUUAGCAAGAUGAUUUGGAUUCAAAACGGGACACGGUUUGUCUUGGUCAGGCACCAAAGGGAUCCUGUGAUGACAUCAUAAUGCAGCACUUGUGACAUCAUAGCUUCUUUCAUGAAAAUGCAUCGUUACGUUUUUAGAAUGUUUUAUUGGUGGGGAGGAGGGCAUGAGCAUGAUGCUACCGAGGGUUACGACAGGAUGCUGAGCCCCUGCGCUGCCGGCUCCCUGAGCUGGGUAAGCGUGACUCAUGCGGGCCCUUCAAUUAGAGCCCAUCCACACACCAUCGCGGUCCCAGACUGGCAGGCCACAGCUCCAACUUCUAUUUCUGGCUUCCUAUAUACUUUUCGUUGUUGCUGCUGCUGCUACUGUGCCUGCAUAAAGCUCAAAGUUUUAAUGUGAUCCCGUCUGGCCCUCGGCACGCAGCCCUUUCCGAAAAUCAGAUGUUCCCAGGAUCACAAGGGCGGCAGAGGCAAGUCCAACUCAGAAGGUGCCCGGAGGAAGCAGAGCUUCGGGUACUGUCAUCUGCCAUGUCGUCCUUCCUUCCACUUCCCCUGCAAGUAACAAAUGGCAAAUGAGUGGGAGAAGAGGGCAGACAGAUGCCAAGACAGCUCUGCAUCUUUUAUUUCCCAACCUCAAAUCCGGAUUUCACUCUGUUCUUGUUCGUUCAGGGAAAAUGAUCUGCAUGGAAUCUGGCUUUUGUUGCUAUUUGAAAUAAAUAUUUUUAUGUACA